UACGUAGGGUGCAAGCGUUGUCCGGAAUUAUUGGGCGUAAAGAGCGCGUAGGUGGCCUGUCGCGUCGGCUGUGAAAACUCGGGGCUCAACUCCGAGCUUGCAGUCGAUACGGGCAGGCUAGAGUUCGGCAGGGGAGACUGGAAUUCCUGGUGUAGCGGUGAAAUGCGCAGAUAUCAGGAGGAACACCGGUGGCGAAGGCGGGUCUCUGGGCCGAUACUGACACUGAGGAGCGAAAGCGUGGGGAGCGAACAGG
rnacentral:rRNA from 1 species